rnacentral:lncRNA from 1 species
AGGUAAGAAACUAUCAGCUUAUGCCUAGUCCAUAUCUCAUAUGGAGUCUUUGUGACUAAUUAAUUCAGAAUCCAGUUAAGAACAUAACAAGUAGUCUUAAGAGCAUAACCCUAAAAAAAACUAGCAGAUUUGUAAACUCUAUCAUGGAACAAACUAUGUCUAACAAAAUUAAUUUCAAUAAGAGAGAAUCUUAUUCUCUUUUAGAUAUAUCAAAAACUCACCAGAAAGGUAUUCUCCUCCUUGGUC